rnacentral:rRNA from 1 species
UACAGAGGGGGCAAGCGUUGUUCGGAAUUACUGGGCGUAAAGGGCGCGUAGGCGGCCGCCUAAGUCAGACGUGAAAUCCCUCGGCUCAACCGGGGAACUGCGUCUGAUACUGGGUGGCUUGAAUUCGGGAGAGGGAUGCGGAAUUCCAGGUGUAGCGGUGAAAUGCGUAGAUAUCUGGAGGAACACCGGUGGCGAAGGCGGCAUCCUGGACAAUACCUGACACUGAGGCACGAAAGCUAGGGGAGCAAACAGG